ensembl:lncRNA
GGGACACAGGUUUGAUCCCUGAUCCGGGCAGAUCCCACAUGCAGAACAACUAAGCCCGUGUACCACAACUAUGGAACCUGCACUCUAGUGCCUACAAGCCGCAGCUACUGAUCCCACGCACCUCAAGCACUGAAGCCUGCACCCCAGAUCCCUGUUCCACAACAAGAGAGGCCACAGCACCGCAGCUAGAGAGCAGCUCCUGCUCGCUGAAACUAGAUAAAGUCAGGGCAGCAGUAAAGACCCAGCUCAGCCAAAAAUAAGGGACACUGGUUCGAUUCCUGGUCCAGGAAGAUCCCACCUGCCACAGGGCAAAUAAGCCCGUGCACCACAACUACUGAGCCUGUGCUCCACAGUAAGAGGAGCCACUGCAAAGAGAAGCUCGUGCACUGCAACGGGAGAGCAGCCCCUGCUCACACAGCUAAAGAAACCCCGCAUGCAGCAAUGAAGACCCAGGACUACU